rnacentral:misc_RNA from 1 species
UCUCCGUAGGUGAACCUGCGGAGGGAUCAUUACUGAGUGAGGGUUUAACCGCCCGACCUCCAACCCUUUUGUGAACCACCUCGUUGCUUCGGGGGCGACCCUGCCGCUUCGGCGGUGCGGCGCCCCCGGAGGCCAUUAAACACUGCAUCAUUGCGUCGGAGUUAAAGUAAAUUAAACAAAACUUUCAACAACGGAUCUCUUGGUUCCAGCAUCGAUGAAGAACGCAGC